GUGGGGAAUCUUCCGCAAUGGACGAAAGUCUGACGGAGCGACGCCGCGUGAGUGAUGAAGGCCUUCGGGUCGUAAAGCUCUGUCAUCGGGGACGAACGGCCUCAGCAGGUAAUGGCUGGGGAUUGACGGUACCCGAGAAGGAAGCCACGGCUAACUACGUGCCAGCAGCCGCGGUAAUACGUAGGUGGCAAGCGUUGUCCGGAAUUAUUGGGCGUAAAGCGCGCGCAGGUGGGAUCUUAAGUCCAUUUUGAAAGUUCGGAGCUCAACUCCGUGAGGGGAUGGAAACUGGGAUUCUUGAGUACCGGAGAGGAAAGCGGAAUUCCCCGUGUAGCGGUGAAAUGCGUAGAUAUGGGGAGGAACACCAGUGGCGAAGGCGGCUUUCUGGACGGUGUCUGACACUGAGGCGCGAAAGCCAGGGGAGCGAACGGGAUUAGAUACCCCUGUAGUCC
rnacentral:rRNA from 1 species